rnacentral:rRNA from 1 species
AAUGAACGCUGGCGGCAGGCCUAACACAUGCAAGUCGAGCGAGCGGCGGACGGGUGAGUAAUGUCUGGGAAACUGCCUGAUGGAGGGGGAUAACUACUGGAAACGGUAGCUAAUACCGCAUACCAUCAGAUGUGCCCAGAUGGGAUUAGCUAGUAGGUGGGGUAACGGCUCACCUAGGCGACGAUCCCCAGCUGGUCUGAGAGGAUGACCAGCCACACUGGGACGGAGACACGGCACAGACUCCUACGGGAGGCAGCAGUGGGGAAUAGUGAGCAAUGGGCGCAAGACUGAUGCAGCCAUGCCGCGUGUGUGAAGAAGGCCUUCGGGUUGUAAAGCACUGUCAUCGGGGAGGCGGUACCCACAGAAGAAGCACCGGCUAACUCCGUGCCAGCAGCCGCGGUAAUAC